CGGGUGAGGCGCGACACGAAGCUCCCCGCCCGAUCAGAGGCCGCGGGGAGGAGCCGGGCGGACCCCUCCUCGGCGGCGCCGCGCACCGAGCCAACAUGGUGGCGGCAGCGGCAGCGCGGGGUCGAGGGGAGGCGAGGGGCAGCUCCCGAUCGGGGCCUUUCGGGGAGGGUUGCGCAGAGCCCGGCUGCCGCCUUCUUGCUUGACGCCGGUCAGGUGUGUGGCUUCAGCUCUGAGCUCUUCCGCCUGCCGUGGGAAAGGUGUGGAGAAAUUACUCUUCAACCACGCAGCCGAGGAUGUCCAGGCUUGGUGUGUUAUGGAUUUGAGUCAGACAGGACAAGGAAGGAGGAGCUGCACUCAUCUGCUGUAGCAUGUGUGGAAUACAGUGUGAGAUGCUGCUGCUGUGGUUUGCUGCUACCAGGUGCUGGGUACCAUUUCAUGACCAGUGCUUCAGGCAGGCUCAGCCUCUGUGAACUCCUCAGCUGUGCUGUGUUUCUGGUUUUCCAGGAAAAAUGCUGCUGUUAAGGGACAUUACGUUGUUUUGGCACAACCAACUUUUUCCUGUGGAAAAAAAAAAUAUUGCAGAAACCACUUUUCUACUAAAAAACAUGGACAGAAAUCUCUGUAUCAGCAGUAAAGAGAAGAUGUCAAACCAGAACCAAGCACAUUUGAACAUAUUCUCCCCAGAGAACAUUAAGAAUACUCCAACCUGGCAGUGAGAAUUUUAUAUCAUCUCCAUAUUUUACACUAGUAUAAAGAGAAAUAAAAACAAAUAGCAGAAGUGUCCUGAGGCCACACAGCAGCAAAGCUUCCUGGAGAACUUCAAAAACGAAGCUGCAGUGUAGGAAUGUUGGAGCUCCGGCAGGCCUUGAAGACAAACUCCUAUGGGGAAGAGCUUCAAAGGCACAGUGGGAGACCUUUGUGCUCUUCGCUUUUGAGGGGAUUCCUAUCAUAAUAUAUUCUUCAAGAAAAGCAGAGUUGGUAUGG
ensembl:lncRNA